rnacentral:tRNA from 1 species
AUUUCUAUUUUUUUUAUAGUUUAAAAAAAAACAUUACAUUUUCAUUGUAAAAUUAUUAUUAUUAAUUAUA